AAAUGAGGAAAAUACCUAAUUAAAAAAAAAAGCGUAACAAAGAUUUGCCUGCUGUCAUUUUACUCAAAUUCUUCCUUACUCUUGUUACAGUAGAGGAGCAGGAGACUGCAGGCUCACCCAACCUUCUCACCGGUGCCUUGAGCAGGAGUACAGUGUCUCUCCCCACACACAUUAGGGCCAUGCAGCUAUGAUGCAUGGCAACUAGAAGAGCUCAAAGAUCACAGAGCCCGAAACCCCUUUCCAGAAACCAGCUCCAGAGCACAGGUACCUGCAGAGGUGUUAGAUCCCUUGGCUGGAGUUACAGGUGCUUGUGAGCCUCCUAGCAUAUGUAGGUGGUGAAACUCAGGACCUCUACUUAAGAGCUAAGUCACCUGUCCAUUUAAUCUUUUUGAAAUGUGUUAGCUAUUUAAAAUUCUUCCUACUUUUGGAUCUUCUCAGAUGAGCAAAGAUGGCUGGAUUACAUCAUUGAUGUUCACAGACUGUCCCCAGAGCAGCACCUAAUAGGAUGGAUUACCAGACCCUUCCCAAGUCUCAAAAAGGGUCCUAUGUGAAAUCAAAGACACUGCCAUAGGAAAGACAGUGUGGUAGGAACAUGUGUUGCAUAUAUACCUAAAUCCAAAAUGCACCAAGGUGAAUGACUAGCUAGCUGGUACAUUCAGGUGAGAAUUUUCCUUAACAGCCACUUUCCAACUUUGUGGUGGUCACUAUAUUUUGUCAAAAACAAACAAACAAACAAACAAAAAAACCUGUUCAUUAAACUAAUUCUGCUCUUUUUGUUAUCAAAACUGAGUUGAGAGCCGGAGAGAUGGCUUAGCAGGUAAAAGUACUUGCCACUAGGCCCGAUGACCUGAGUUCAAUCUCCAGGGUGCACAGGUUGAAGGAGAGAUCUGUCUCCUUUAGGUUGCCCUCUGGCUUUCACAGAUGUGCUGUGGUGUGCGUGCACACACCCAUACAAGUCAGUAGAUAAAGUCAAAGGCUAAAACUGAGUUUAAAUCUCUUUCGUUAGAUAAACAGAAUGAAGUUUUAAGUCUUGUCAGAAGAAAAGGUGGCUAUGUACUGUCUUAAGGGUAAUAUGAAGCCACAACUGACAGAGAAUGCCUUUGUGGAUUUAUUCAUUACAAUAAUGUUGAUGACAUUAACUGGAAUAUACUCAGAGAGUUCCUGUGUUCACUUCAGGUAAGCUAACCCUUGGAUGACAACUUUGGUGUCCUCAUCAGACUCAUCCCUCAUGGAAACCUAAUAUUAGGGGUCUGUACUAGAGAGUGUAGGUAUUUUAGAAAGUUCCAUUUGGACCUGUAGCUGCAGCUUCUUUCAGACAUCUUUUGCUUAAGAUAACAUUAAGAGAACACAGUGGGCUUGGGUCCAGUUUAUUACCUUCCUAGUUAAGAAGGAGGUCUUAUGGAGAAUACAGAUAAAGUCCUGGGAGUUGAAUGGAGAAAAACUGGGCUCAACUCAAGGUAAAAUUGAUUAUCAGCUUUAGAUUAAUAAAGGUUAUAUUACAGGGAACCCUACCAAAAGGCUCCUCUCUUUUUAAAAUUUUUUUAUUAGAUAUUUUCUUCAUUUACAUUUCAAAUGCUAUCCCAAAAGUCCCCUACACCCUCCAAAAGGCAGCUCUUUUAAAGGAAUAAUUCACUUCAUGAGCACUUAGCUAAUCCUUUAGUAUCAGUUAGUGUUUCCAUAUUUACAUUUAGAUUUUCAUUAAUGUGCUGCUAUUGAACAUCUUUCAUGAUUUAAAAACUGUAAAAUAUUUUAAUCUGUGAUGCAUUUGUUUACAAAGCCAACCACUUAAUUCUAUAUAAUAUGUAGCACUUGAAACCAUCUGUUAGGAACAUUUGAAGACUUUGGUGCACAUUGUGAAGAUGAAUACAGCAAACAAGAAACAAAACAUGAAAUAUUCAGGCUGUGUUUGUGAUGGAGGGAAAAAGCAUGUAUUUUAAGUUUGAAAACAUUGCAGUCUAAAAUUUGACAAAGAAGCUUUCCAGAGUGAAGCACUUUUCUAAUUUCAGGCAAAUGUCAAACUGACAUUUUAGAAGCUGGGGAGAUGACUUUGUAGAUAAAUGUUCUUGAUGCACAACAUGAAGAACUGAGUUCAAAUCCUCAGUGCUGAUGUAAGUAUGGCCAUGCACAGACCUGUGCUGUGGAAAGUGGAGACCAAAGGACCCAGUGUCCUUCUCUGGCCUCUUGCACACACAUGGGAGAGGCCCAUUUUAACUGAUUUGAAGUAAAAAUAUUGGCAUAAUAUGAACUAGAAUUAUGCUUCUGAGAGUUUGUGUUUCAGAAUAGUUAACUGUCCCAUGGGGCUCUCUUGAGAAGUUGCUGCUGUGAAGCCGAGAGAGAGGCUGUGGUGAGCGAGGGGUGUCAUCCUGGGAGGCAAAGCACCAUGUGUCCUUUGUGGUCUCGCAAAUGCUGAUCUGGGCAAAACACUCAUAUACAUAAAACAAGAUAAUCUAUAAAACAUGGGAGGAAUCCAGGAAGGACUGCAGUUUCUGCCACACAGUCGCCGUCAGCACUGCCUUCCUGGAUUCCUCUUUACAUGUUUUAGAUUAUCUUUGUUUAUGUAUAUGAGUGUUUUGCCUACAUUCAUGUAUAUGUACCAAAUGCAUGCAAUAAGAAGGCCAACAGAAGGCAAAGGAUCUGGAACUGGGGUUAUAUCCAUGACUGUGAGCCAGCAUAUAGGUGCUGGGAACAGAUCAGGUCCUCUGUAAGAGCAACAAGCACUCUUAACCCCUGAGUCAUCUCUGAAGUGCUUUUAAUCCUCUAUUCUAGUGCCAAAACAAGACCACCUUAUAAUUAAACACAGUUGGGUUUUUUUUUGGUGUUUUGUUUUGUUUACAGUGUCUACUACCUACUAGUCUCACAGUAGCACUGUGACCACUCAUAGGUGUUACACAGAGCACAUUUUCUUGUCAAAAACUCUAGCAAGACCACAAUAGUUUACAAUAUGUUAAUCUGCUGCUGGCUGUUCCAGACCUAUCAUUGUGCUAGGAUAUAAUUCAAAUUAUCUUACCCUUCCCUUCAAUUUUUUAUCAGUAUUAUGAAAGACCCUAUAAGUGCUUAUUACUUCCUACCCAAGAUAAUGUGCAGUUCUCCCUUCUCUUGAUUCCCCCAGAUUGAUCAUUUUGUCAUUGAAUCAACCUUACCCUAAGGCCUUCCUUUUUGUACAGGUGCGUGAUACGUUGAGUUGAAUCAAAGUCACCCAAGUCUUCACUCUGGUUUUAUGUUUACAUUUCCUGGUGACUGAAUGAGCUUCCCUAUCUGCAAGUCUGAAUGGCAAGUUUUUAUAUUGGUUGUUUUUAACCAACUUUUUGUAUUUCCACACACGUGUUCCCAUUAAUUUAUGUCAUCGUUUUGAACUAACAACAUUUUGAGUUUCAAGCCUUUGGCUCCCUGGAACUAACAUUUAGAAUCCCAGACUUAGUUCAUCUCCAGCAAAGUCAAAUUUUAUAUGCUUAUUUGGGUUUAAUACGAUUCUUUUGAAACUGGUAAGGAAUUCUUGGCCAGUGUGUGUGUGUGUGUGGGGGGGGGGGGGGAGUUGAGUUUAGUCUUUGGAUUUCUAACAUGAACUCCUAGUGUGGGUCCAUAUUUAAAGACUUGCUGGAUGAAUGACAGUUAUUAAGAUUCCUAUGGUUGCUAUGAGUCUGUUUUAAAAUAGUUUUGUUAUAAUGGAACACCCUCUGCAAUGAGUAAAAAUAAGAGGGAGUGUGGAUUCACACAAGAAGGCAAAUGAUUGGUGUGAAAACAUUGCCAGGGUGAGCUGUGAACAGGCAGAAAUACUCAAUUCAGAGUCCUGUCCCAGGGUGCCAGGCUUUGAUGGGCAUGUGGCCCAUGUUUUGAUGACUGGCCCACAGCAGAGACUUGUAUGUCUGCAUCCUGCUCCCUGACAUCCUGAACAGGAGACUCCUGCUCACCUUUGCCACCAUGCUCAAUGACCGCAAGUUGCAUCCCUGAUACUUGGUAAAUGCAUGUUUGAGAAGAGAGAGGAUGGAAGGGUAAAGUGGCUUGUUCUUUGGAACACAGUAAAGGAAGGUGGAUUUUU
rnacentral:lncRNA from 1 species